UACGGAGGGUGCAAGCGUUAUCCGGAUUCACUGGGUUUAAAGGGUGCGUAGGUGGGCAGGUAAGUCAGUGGUGAAAUCUCCGGGCUUAACCCGGAAACUGCCAUUGAUACUAUCUGUCUUGAAUACCGUGGAGGUGAGCGGAAUAUGUCAUGUAGCGGUGAAAUGCUUAGAUAUGACAUAGAACACCAAUUGCGAAGGCAGCUGACUACACGAAUAUUGACACUGAGGCACGAAAGCGUGGGGAUCAAACAGG
rnacentral:rRNA from 1 species